UUAAUUUUAGUCAAUCACCGAAAGACACUACACAAUGAUUUAUUUCAUUUCACUUCACAUAAAAUUCACAAAUUUAAAAAAUAUGUAGCAAAUUCGCCGCAAUUAGCACUCGUACACAUCAGAGAAAAAACGAAACUGACAACUCACAAUUGUACCGAUGACAGAGCAAUGCACAAAGCAGUCAAAGAUGUGAAAGAAGAAGCAGAUCAAUAGUGAGAUUUAGCUGAUGAAAAUUCUCACACCCUAACAUGACAGAGUUGCUCAGUUACAUGAUUAUAAUUUUGACUACCGGAAAAGGAUAUUCCAUGUUUCAAAACGGAAAUGUUAUAAAACCUUUAUCUAACCAAAUUUGUUUAUACUAUAUUAUUUGCUCUUUGUGACAUUGCGAUUUACACGAAACAAAUUUAGCAUUUUUCAUCAACAACCUUAAAGUAAA